AGCUUUUUGAAUCUUUAAAAAGUAAUUUCUGCCCGGUGUAUAUAUUAACGGCCGCGGUAUUUUGACCGUGCGAAGGUAGCAUAAUCAUUUGUCUUAUAAUUGAAGACUGGAAUGAAAGAAUUUACGAAGGAAAAUCUGUCUUUAUUAAGUUACUAAAAUUUAUUGUUAAAGUGAAGAAACUUUUAAGAAGAAAUUAGACAAGAAGACCCUAUUGAGCUUAACUUUUUUUAUUUAUAAAAUGUAUUUAAAUUUUAUUUUUAUAUUUAAAAUUAGUUUGAUUGGGGCGAUUGAGGAAAUAUAUUAUAAACUUCCUUUUUUCUUUUUACUUAUUAGUGUUUGAUCCAUUUUUUAUGAUUAAAAGAAAAAGUUACCAUAGGGAUAACAGCGUAAUCUUUUUUUAGAGUUCUUAUCAAAAAAAAGGUUUGCGACCUCGAUGUUGGACUAAGAUAUCCCAAAGGUGUAGGUGCUUUUGAUGGUGGGUCUGUUCGACCUUUAAAAUCUU
rnacentral:rRNA from 1 species